UGUAUUUUAGUAUAUGAGGUAUAAAAGUUUUUGAUACUUGAGGAGGUAGUUUGAUUCUGCCAGGUACAA
rnacentral:tRNA from 1 species